GAUGAACGCUGGCGGCGUGCCUAAUACAUGCAAGUCGAGCGAACAGACGAGGAGCUUGCUCCUCUGACGUUAGCGGCGGACGGGUGAGUAACACGUGGAUAACCUACCUAUAAGACUGGGAUAACUUCGGGAAACCGGAGCUAAUACCGGAUAAUAUCUUGAACCGCAUGGUUCAAUAGUGAAAGACGGUUUUGCUGUCACUUAUAGAUGGAUCCGCGCCGCAUUAGCUAGUUGGUAAGGUAACGGCUUACCAAGGCAACGAUGCGUAGCCGACCUGAGAGGGGGAUCGGCCACUCUGGAACUGAGACACGGUCCAGACUCCUACGGGAGGCAGCAGUAGGGAAUCUUCCGCAAUGGGCGAAGUCUGGACGGAGCAACGCCGCGUGAGUGAUGAAGGUCUUCGGAUCGUAAAACUCUGCUAUUAGGGAAGAACAAAGGGGUAAGUAACUAUGCACGUAGUGACGGUACCUAAUCAGAAAGCCACGGCUAACUACGUG
rnacentral:rRNA from 1 species